rnacentral:misc_RNA from 1 species
GCCGCGGGGAGGGAUGCACAGUGACGCUCCGCUCCGCUCCCUCCCUGCCCACCACUCCCAACCUGCGCUUCCAGGAUUUUUUGCGCCAAAGGGGGAGCAUGCUUUUCCCCCGACACAAACCCACCAAUAAACUUUUCAAGUGGUGAAUCUAUUACAAAAAUAAUUGAAACAAACAUGUGAUCUUUUUGUCGAUUGUUGGAAAGUGUUGGAAAAGAAAGAGAGAGAGAGAUGCAGGAGUGUUUUGUUUCAUUUAUUUAUUAUUUUUAGACAAUUUUCUACCUUGAGUGCGAGUGUGUCUGGCAGGGGCGACACAGCUGAUACAAGGGGGCGCUGCUCCCAUCUGUGAAUCGUGUGCCUGAAAAAUGAGGCGAUCGAGAAAAAACUCGUGAAAGAAUAUUGCCUUUAAAUUAUAUUACUGGAUCCAAGGAAAAAGGAAAUACAAAAUUGUUUUUUUUAGAUAAAUAAAUUGAUUUGUUUACAAAUAAAGCAGACAUGAUCUCCACCAUUGUGAUAUGAAGAAUGUUUAAAUCAGUAGAUCACCUAUUAGAGAUACAAAUAGGGAAGGACAUGGUUAAGUGAAAAAUAAAAAUAGUGAAAAUUGGCAUUAUUAAGUGGCUCUGUUGGAGUGAGCGGACAGAGAGUCCGGUUACCAGCCGAAGCAACGGAUCCCGGUGUUUCUGUCUCGUGGCCGGUUACCGAAAAACACCAGCAAUCAUGACGAUGUCCAGUGUCGAGAUCCGGAAUGAUGACGGAAGCCACAAUGCGGAGAAGAUUACUAAGCUGGUGGUGGAGAUCAACUCCCAGGUGGCGCUGUUCCGGGACCUGUUGAUCUGUGUCGGACAGAGUCGAGACGGACCCGAGCUGAGGGAGAGGAUCAGGAAGGUCCGGCGUCAGUGUGUCGACACCUGCAAGCACGCCUCCCAGCUCCUCCUUCCUGGCAUCAAGAAUGAUGUGGCCGAGGGCAUCCCUGUGGACAACCAGAACUUCGUGCACCUGGUCGCAUGCACUCAGCUCAUCUCCAGGGAGCUCCGCAAGUGCAAGCGUCUUGUCAUCACUAUGCCUAUAGACAUGACGGAGUACUAUGAGAACAAGCCAGGGCCGUCAGGUAUGGGAGGCCUGGGCGUGAUCUCCCAGUUGCUGCUCUGCAAGACUCUCCAGCCGGACUUCCAGCAGGAGGAGAUCUGCAGCAUAGAGAAAGAUAGCGAUGAUAUCCUCGCAAUCCUCAAGGAGAUGCAGGAGUACAUGCCGCAGGAGGAGGCGGGCUCCAGGAACCUGGCGCUCACUGGGGAGGACAUGUUCAGCAUCUGGAGCAAAAAGAGAACGCGGCGCUCACUCUACCGCAACAUGAGUUCCUUAUGUUGCACCUGCAAGCCUGCCUACUUGUAAUACGCCAAAGUCUAGUUCUCCAACCACUUCACCACGCGCGAACACACACACACACACACAACCGUUUCCAACUCCUGCCUUCCCAGACACAAGCCAAUGCCAAGCUAGUCAGUUUAGUGUACAAGAUACGGUAGGAGAUGGAGCCAAAUUACGUUUUAUCCAUCUCGCUACGCUGGAAUGAAGCAAUCGACACAGUCCCUCCUGAGCCAAUCGCAUUAUCCCAUGCCCUGAUCAUCCUCACAGUUCUAAUCUCUGCUUAGUCAAUCAUGUCGGUGAAUUAUUUCAGUCAUUCCCAACCUAUCGAUGAAUCCCGUGUCCAGUCCUACAAUCAAGAGUUCGCUAGUCACAAUCCUUUCCAGUCAGAUCACUUUCAAGCUACAACUAAUCCUCAACUCGUACCCUAUUAAUGCAAGGAAGCUAUGCACUAACAUAGUUAAAUUAGUUCCUACCUUUUGAUAGUUAAUUAGUCAAUUCAAUAAACUAUUUCGAAGACAAAAAUAUCAUCCCUACCAACUCGCCCGUUUACAAAACCCUAAAAUUAUUACAUGCCCAAACUGAUUUUAACUACAUGUUAUAUUCCUAAAUUAUGAAUUACUUUAAUACUUCUAAUUACUUGAAAUUAAGAACACAAAAUACAUGGGAUAUACUUUAGAGUUCAGAAAGUAAAACAAAGUACAUUGUACACUGUACAAUGAAAGUACACUGAAAGUACAGUGCACUGAAAGUACACUGUAAAAUCAGUAUGUAUGCUCUCUCUUUCCCCUUGUGUGUCCGGUCUCACCUUACCAGACACAAGUCCAGCUUUGUCAAGAAAGUCCAAUAUCUUGCAGAUACCUCCAAGCUUUCAUAAAUAACCCUGAAUACACCACAUUCGUCUUCCAAACACUUCAACUUCCCAAGAUUUCCUACUUGCCUUCGUCCAAUACCCUCGUCCAAAAUGUCCACCUUCCUUUAGAUAACUUUUUACAUUUAACAAAACAUUCAAUUUCUCUCGGAUCAUCUCAACUUCAUUCAAAUCUUCUAAACUGCUUCUAAAUACCUUCAUUUCAUCACAGAUGUCUCUAACUUUAACCACAGGCUACUAUUCUAUUCUAGGUGCUUUCAACAUAUCAUAAACACUUGAACCUGUACCAGGUGCCUGGGAUACUGUACACCUUCCCUAGGUGCCUAAACCUCCAUUGGUUUUCUGUUAAGUACUCUGGGUACAUAAAGUUGUAAUCAAACUAAUAUACCCCUUUCUCCUAGAUAAUUAAAAUUUACUUUCACACAUCCCCCAGUUUUAUUAAGAUAUCUUCAAGUACCUUUAGAUAUUUUUAAGUCCCUCCAGAUAUUUCCAACUCUAAAAGUAUAUAGACAAAAUAUUUUCCCAAAUCUCACAGCUUUCUCCAGACUUUCCAAAAAUAUCAACCUUCCCCCCUAGGUAUCUUUAAUAGGCAUAAAUACCUUUAAUAUGCAUAAAUACCUUUAAUAUAUCUUUGUCAUACCAUGGACCAUGUUCUCUUCUAGUGUCAAUCUCGUUCACACUUCAAUUACAGCUUCUUAACAGGCAUUUCGUAACCACAGACACACCAAACUAUGACCACAAGAGUCAGACGCAUAUGGAUAUAUGAAAAUAGACAAUUAUACAAGAAACAAAUAUAAACAGUUUUUAACAGAACACAUAGUUACUAAAUUUAACACUCUAGAUGAGAUUUAGCAAAAAUUACUUAUUUCCUAUAAAAUCUAUAAGCAGCAGCACUUAGUAACAGUAUGUACGUAGAAAUUUAUAAUUUUUUAAUAUUGACAAUGACAGCAAAACACAGGUUGACAUGUAGGAUGAGAAGAGGUGAGGAAAAUGGGUUACAUAGUCAAAAAGGGAGUUUUUUGUUUUUUCAACUGGACGCGAAAUAUAAUUUUUAAUCUCAUUGGCGAGGUUAAUCCCACAGUUUAGAACUUUUAAUUUGCAGGAGCGUUUGUGCAAUGUUCACAUGUGCAUGUACGUCACUGUCCAUACUCGUGUAUAUAAACACGUCACUGUCCACAGUCAUAUAUACAAACACGUCACUGUCCACAGUCAUAUAUAUAAACACGUCACUGUCCACAGUCAUAUAUAUAAACACGUCACUGUCCACAGUCAUAUAUAUAAACACGUCACUGUCCAGUCAUAUAUAUAAACACGUCACUGUCCACAGUCAUAUAUACAAACACGUCACUGUCCACAGACAGACAGACAACACCGAGCGCCUCUCCACUCACAAACUUCGCCAAUUACUUCUCUAGUGACACCUUGCGUCGUGUGUAAAAGUGUAGUUCUUGUUCUGCAAAUUAUCAAUUCGCAGUCAGUAGCAGUCUGCUGUCGCUGCCUUGCUCUCUCGUGUACAAUCGUAGUCUCCAUCACAGUGUAAUGAUCGUCCGUGUGAUUGUAUGAAUGUCCAAUUUACAGCUCCAGCUGCUUCCCUAUGACGAGUGUCCUAUUUACAGCUCCAGCUGCGCCACUAUAACCAACCGCUGCUGCUGGUACGACUUUUAGGUACUAUAUAGACUUGUUUUGUCCCCCGGAUGUAAUCAUAGUGCCGCUUCUUGUGUAGUGGCCAGGUAGAGUCUGGUUCAGAGACGAGGGGUAACUAUACAUUACAGUAACUCUCCUGCUGCAAGGGGGAACUUCCUGAGCCAUUUUCUGGUAUACGUGUGUACAUGACGGUCAUACUGGAAAAAGAAAUGUUGUUCGCCUCUAUAUAUGAGGAGAGUCUGCUGUGAUAAGUGAGUGUUCGUGUUGACUUCGCUAUUGUUUCCUUGCUGUCCGCUGUUUUAGUGUGUGUGUCUAGAGCAACGCCGGCUGUCUGGAGUCUCACGUAUUGACUUAUACACUUUCCUUUGCUGUAUUGCCAGUAUUAUAUCUCGUAAAAUACUGCUUGGCGCUCUUGUGUGUGUAUGUAACGUAUAAUUCCAUCUUGCUUAAUGCUGUCAUGUGUGUGUGAAGCGUCUCUUGGCUAGACACACAGGUGAAGUUUUUUUUGUGAUUGUAUUCAUAUCUCUAGACGACGUCCUUUGCGUCUGGUACAGUCGUCUCUGGCUACGUCUUUAGCUAUACAUUUUACAUUAUCACACUAGAAAUUGUCUGUUCUGUUCCUCACCUGGUGCCCUAGGUCGGUACUUUCAGGGAAGUAACAAUGUAUUAUCUCAAACUAACGUGACACACACACACUGUAUCUUCAGCCUGUAUCUCAACACAGUCUCCAUUCUCAAACUCUUUGUUUAUCAAUACCAUCCUUGCAUCUACCAUAGUGUUCUCAUCCCAGUGACUGUCACCUAUCGGCUACACCCCCAGCAUCCUCAUCCCAGCGACCACCACACAGCGACCACUACCUAGCGACCAUUACACAACAACCACCACCCAGUGAUCACCCCUCACAGUCCCAUCUCUUGCAUUCCAUACACUGAUCCCUUAUCCUCCCACAUUAGGAUAAGUCUACCUUCUCCACUCGCCUCUACAGUACUGGCUAUACCACCAGCUGCUCCUUGUGUAUGCAGGCUUCCCACUUCACACACACCUGUUCCUCUCAGAACUUUAUCAGUGGCAGCAAAACUCUAUCUGUGUUCAGUUCUUCAUUCUCCUCACCUUGCUAGCGAACACCACACCCUGGCCACACUUGCCGAGGUUCACCCACUCACCAAUGCACACUCUUUACCAAAGUGACCCUCACCCCACACCACUGAGGACUACCCUCACCCCACACCACUGUGGACUACCCCUCACCCCACACCACUGAGGACUACCCUCACCCCACACCACUGAGGACUACCCCUCAACCCACACCGCUGAGGACUACCCUCAACCCAUACCACUGAGGACUACCCUCACCCCACACCACUGAGGACUACCCUCAACCCACACCACUGAGGACUACCCCUCAACCAACACAUCCUUCCACCUCCAAAGAACCCCUACCAACAAAGUGCUUUCAGAUCCAGGGCAGACCCCUAAAACCAGAGAAUAUUGUGCCUCAUUCUAGACGGGUUCACUGGGGCACAAAAGUCCUCAUCACCAACUCGCCAUCAUGGGGCCCGCUGAGCUAUUUGCGAUCCGACUGCUUAUAGUAUGAGUGCAGUGGAGGAGAACUAGACGUUGGCCAUAGAAACUAGGUAAUGAAUGCACAGGUCGUUGACUAAUACGUUCAUCCAAGUGAUAAUCUCUGGGUGACAAGCAAAAUAUAUAUAUAUAUAUAUAUAUAAUAGAUUCAUUACUUGCCUAAGCCGUUGCAUCAUAAGUAUUUUAAUUACGAGUACUGUGAGUGUUGUAAAGUGAUAGUAACGCCAUAGAUUUAUUGACAAUCUCAUUGAUUAAACUCCACUUCUGUUAUUCUAGUAGUUUGUGUGUUGAUUUGUAUUACAUAUCAUAGUUAGCCUUCUUGACCAAGCUUGGCCAUAGGGUGUAGUCUAGUUGGUUAUUAGUACCUGCCAAUUUAAGGCCUCGGGGGAAUGCUACAUUUUACUUGAUUACUUCAACAGGAUUAGUGGCAUCAGACAGAUGGCGCCAGUUUUCUCAUAUAUAUCGGUUACUUGUAGGAAAUAUGGAACCGGCUGAGUCAUGUAUCGUGUGACAGUAGGACACAUGACGCUGAGGGCUUGGCUGGGGUAUACAUAGCACUAGGAAAAUGCCAGUUCGUAAAAGAAAGAUUGAGAUAAAAUGUCGUAUAUGAUUUGAGUAUAAGACACAUGGCGACUGUUGAACUUUGUGUCAGUUGCCUGUAGAGCAUGGGGCACUAGUUGCCCCUUGUGUAUUAGUUAUCAGUAUGACACAGUGCCACUGGUGUCGUGAUUCAUACAAGAGUCGAGCAUACAUCAGUAUGUUUGACUGUAAUACACACGGCAUCAUUUGUAGGGAACAUGACCUCGGCUGUACCAUGUGCCAUGUAGGACACCUGAAGCAAUAUUGUCACAUAUUAGAGUGUAGGACACAUAAUGCAAGUCGUGUCACAUAUUAGUCGAGAGUGUAGAACACAUGGCGCCAAAUGUGCCAUAACCCUAACAUUCCGUAGGAGAAUCACAAUCCCAGCUACAAGAGAGUAGCAAGUGUACAUAGUGAGGGUAUAGUCUGAUAAGUCGCGUUCUCGCGUGACCGCACGACCUAAACCACCACACGACCUUCCUUCCACCAGGAAGCCCUAAACAGUCUUCUGUAUGUAUUUCUAACCCCGGAAAUAUGCCUCACGAAGUAGACAAAGGGUCAUAGAUGCAACAGCCAAAACAAAUAGUUUGAUUCAACUGGAUUUACAACUAAAGGUCGUUUCAGUUAUAUAUUGUGGAUGAAGGCGAGGAAUAGUAGUAACUUUAAAUGUGAUUUCUACAUUUCAAGAGCACAGGUUCGGAAAACUCCUUACUGUUGAUGCCUGCAACCCAUGCCAUCAUAUAUAUCUAUAUAUAGAUAUAUAA